rnacentral:sRNA from 1 species
UGAUACCAGGGUCAAAAGGUCAUGCGUUUCAUGCUUGCAUGAAAAAGCAUGACUUUGGGACCCGCAAAACAUGAGAAAGUAGCCCGAGCAGGGCGGAUUUCGAAUGUUUUUAGGAUUGCGGGAGCACAAAGUGCGGAGCAAUCCGUAGGUAUCA